UAACGGAUCGAAAGAUUCGCUAAUACCGCAUAAUGUAGCGGCACCUAAUGGUGAAUAGUUGUUAAAGCGGGGGAUCGCAAGACCUCGCGCCUGAAGAGGAGCCUGCGGCAGAUUAGCUAGUUGGUGAGGUAAUGGCUCACCAAGGCUUCGAUCUGUAGCUGGUCUGAGAGGACGGCCAGCCACACUGGCACUGACACACGGGCCAG
rnacentral:rRNA from 1 species